rnacentral:rRNA from 1 species
GUCGGGAGUUAGGAAAUGCAAGGAUGUUAAUAGCAUCUUUGCUUGACUAAGGCUCCGGAGGAAGCCACGGCUAACUCUGUGCCAGCAGCCGCGGUAAUACAGAGGCGGCAAGCGUUGCUCGGAAUUAUUGGGCGUAAAGAGCACGUAGGCGGCCGUGUAAGUCGGUUGUGAAAGCCUUCCGCUCAACGGGAGAACGGCAUCCGAUACUGCAUGGCUCGAGUGCGGGAGGGGAGAGUGGAACUUCUGG